rnacentral:rRNA from 1 species
AUUGAACGCUGGCGGCAGGCCUAACACAUGCAAGUCGAACGGUAACAGGAAGAUGCUUGCUUCUUUGCUGACGAGUGGCGGACGGGUGAGUAAUGUCUGGGAAACUGCCUGAUGGAGGGGGAUAACUACUGGAAACGGUAGCUAAUACCGCAUAACGUCGCAAGCCCAAAGAGGGGGACCUUCGGGCCUCUUGCCAUCGGAUGUGCCCAGAUGGGAUUAGCUAGUAGGUGGGGUAACGGCUCACCUAGGCGACGAUCCCUAGCUGGUCUGAGAGGAUGACCAGCCACACUGGAACUGAGACACGGACCAGACGCCUACGGGAGGCAGCAGUGGGGAAUAUUGCACAAUGGGCGCAAGCCUGAUGCAGCCAGGCCGCGUGUAUGAAGAAGGCCUUCGGGUUGUAAAGUACUUUCAGCGGGGAGGAAGGGAGUAAAGUUAAUACCUUUGCUCAUUGACGUUACCCGCAGAAGAAGCACCGGCUAACUCCGUG